GAUGAAGAACGCAGCGAAAUGCGAUACUUGGUGUGAAUUGCAAAUUCAGUGAAUCAUCGAGUCUUUGAACGCACAUUGCGCCCCCUGGUAUUCCGGGGGGCAUGCCUGUCCGAGCGUCAUUGCUGCCCUCAAGCACGGCUUGUGUGUUGGGCCCCGUCCUCCGAUCCCGGGGGACGGGCCCGAAAGGCAGCGGCGGCACCGCGUCCGGUCCUCGAGCGUAUGGGGCUUUGUCACCCGCUCUGUAGGCCCGGCCGGCGCUUGCCGAUCAACCCAAAUUUUUAUCCAGGUUGACCUCGGAUCAGGUAGGGAUACCCGCUGAACUUAAGCAUAUCAAUAAGCGGAGGA
rnacentral:misc_RNA from 1 species